rnacentral:tRNA from 1 species
UUAAUUGAAACCAAAGAAGAGGUUUGUUACUGUUAAUAACAUAAAUGGAAAUAUCCCAAUUAAA